GCCGACCGGCUGAUCGAACCGUAUAAAAGACGUUCCUCACGGCCAAGGUUGCAUCAGUAAAGUCGUGAAAGCCCUAUCGGUAACACAGUUCAAGUUCACAGUUCAGGAAUAAUCCCAAACCUCAAACCAUCAACAUGAAAUUCUUGUUCGCGCUCUGCAUGUUCGCCAUGGUGUUGGCCCUCGCCUUCGCCCUGCCGGCCGUCAACGAUGAGUCCGUGAUUGCCGUGCCGUCCGAUGCCGUUGUCAUGGCCGAAGCCGAGAACCCUCAGGACAACCAAGCAACCCUCGGCCUGCUGCUCCUGAAGAAGAAGCUGCUGCUGCUCGGUUAAAUAAAAUAGUCUGCCUUCCUCCAAACGCAAACGCAAAUUAAAACGAUACCUCUGUUGAACGCUAACGCAAAAACGCUGCCAUUCUACUUAAUAUACCUUUAGGUCGACAAAACCAGCAAAGAAUAUGACCGACAAUGUCAAAUUAGAGAUAAUGAAUUGAUUA